AGCGAACGCUGGCGGCAGGCCUAACACAUGCAAGUCGAACGAACUCUUCGGAGUUAGUGGCGGACGGGUGAGUAACACGUGGGAACGUGCCUUUUGGUUCGGCAUAACUCAGGGAAACUUGUGCUAAUACCGAAUGUGCCCUUCGGGGGAAAGAUUUAUCGCCAUUAGAGCGGCCCGCGUCUGAUUAGCUAGUUGGUGAGGUAACGGCUCACCAAGGCGACGAUCAGUAGCUGGUCUGAGAGGAUGACCAGCCACACUGGGACUGAGACACGGCCCAGACUCCUACGGGAGGCAGCAGUGGAGAAUCUUGCGCAAUGGGCGAAAGCCUGACGCAGCCAUGCCGCGUGAAUGAUGAAGGUCUUAGGAUUGUAAAAUUCUUUCACCGGGGACGAUAAUGACGGUACCCGGAGAAGAAGCCCCGGCUAACUUCGUG
rnacentral:rRNA from 1 species